AGAGGAUGGGGAGCACACCCGAGCCUGAGACAACAGCUCUGCUAAGUGCCCUUGAGAGGGCACGGUGGGGUCAGCACCAAAGUCAGACCACUAAAGAGAAAAAGAGAGAAAGACAGGAUUGCAGAGGAGAAAUGAGAAUGGCAGAAAAAAUAAUUUUUUAAGCCAAAAGGAAUCAGAGAAGAGCAGAAGUGCCUCUAGGAUAAAGCGUAGCAGGCAGUUAGGGAAAAAGGGCUGUUAACUACCUUGAAGCUCUGACUACAUUAGAAAGCCUCGCAAGACAGUCGUUGCUUGCACGGGCAGGUAGAGAACUUUUCCUGUCCAUUGUUCUUCUGAAUUAUAAAUCACUGACCUCUUUAUGAUUUCUAAAGGGAAAAUGACUUCAAGCUUCUUAGAGUUCCCCUAAGGCAUUCUCUAUAUUCAAUAUAAUAUGGGAAGCCCUGGGUUUGUCUUUGUAUGUUUCAUCUGCAGUGACCUGAAAUCUUCAUAACCCUCUUCCUUUCUCCACUUAUCAACUAAGGGGUGGUUGGCAAUAAGGAUGGGUGGGAGAGAAAAAAAAACAGAAUUUGAGGAGGAGAGCAUUUAAACCAUCAGACUGUGUGUUCUGUGACAUCAAAGACUGGCAACAUUCUAAAGGAAAAGCAGCUGUGAAGUCAUAAUUAUGUUCACUUCCCACUGGCAACUGGCAAGCCCUUUAUUUUUGUGCAUUCGGAACUCACCAAGAAUAAAUAAAGUCCAUUCCCUCCUUGAGGGGCUAUUCUGCCAUUCCAUCUAGGAUUUAAAAGUUUGCCAAUUCCUAAAACAUCUAUUGUUAUCAAUAGUCUUGUGUCUUUCACAAAGCGGACUUUACAAAAUAAGUUAACAGGCCAUGAGAGGAACAGUCACACAUACCAAGAAAGGUACAUACGGAGAUAAUUCCAAUCAAAGUGAGCACAGCCUACGCAUAAACAGGAUCCCUGAAAUUUGGACAUGAUAGUAUGGGAGGAUUCAUGAGAAAAUGUGUGUGGAAUGAUUUGAACUUCUUGAAGAAUACAUACUCAGGAAUACUGCUAUUUGUGAUGAGAUAGUGUCAGAUGCAUAAAUUUGGGUUCUUUGAAUUACUGGCAUACAGGAAAACAGCAAAUCUAGGUCAACAGAGACCUUUUUCUCAGACUGCCUUUACUAUGAAUAAAAGACAAAGGAACUUUUCUAA
ensembl:lncRNA LINC01712 long intergenic non-protein coding RNA 1712